GAGGAAGUAAAAGUCGUAACAAGGUUUCCGUAGGUGAACCUGCGGAAGGAUCAUUAUUGAAUGAACUUGGCGUGGUUGUUGCUGGUCCUCUUGGGGGCAUGUGCACACCCGUCAUCUUUAUCUUUCCACCUGUGCACAUUUUGUAGGUCUAAAAUUUUUCCGAGGCAACUCGUUUAGAGGGAUUGCUGUGCAUCACUGUCGGCUUCCCUUGGAUUUUCAGGCCUAUGUUUUCACAUACACCAUAAAAUGUAAUAGAAUGUCAUAUUGGGCUUUGUUGCCUAUAAACUAUAUACAACUUUCAGCAACGGAUCUCUUGGCUCUCGCAUCGAUGAAGAACGCAGCGAAAUGCGAUAAGUAAUGUGAAUUGCAGAAUUCAGUGAAUCAUCGAAUCUUUGAACGCACCUUGCGCUCCUUGGUAUUCCGAGGAGCAUGCCUGUUUGAGUGUCAUUAAAUUCUCAACCUUAUUAGCUUUUGUUAAUAAUGGCUUGGAUGUGGGGGUUUAUUUGCUGGCUUCUUAAUGAGAUCAGCUCCCCUUAAAUGCAUUAGCUGGUUGCCUUGUGCAGACUUGUCUAUUGGUGUGAUAAUUAUCUACGCCGUGGACUUUCUGCCAGUAUUUAGCACCGCUUCUAACUGUCUGUUUACUCGGACAAUAUAUGACAAUUUGACCUCAAAUCAGGUAGGACUACCCGCUGAACUUAAGCAUA
rnacentral:sRNA from 1 species